GACGAACGCUGGCGGCGUGCCUAAUACAUGCAAGUCGAACGCAGUGGGGACGGGUGAGUAACACGUGGGUAACCUCCCAUCAGAGGGGAUAACACUUGGAAACAGGUGCUAAACCGAUACUGAUGGAUGGACCCGCGGUGCAUCAGCUAGUUGGUGAGGUAACGGCUCACCAAGGCCACGAGGCAUAGCCGACCUGAGAGGGUGAUCGGCCACCAUGGGGCUGAGACACGGCCCAGAAUCCUACGGGAGGCAGCAGUAGGGAAUCUUCGGCAAUGGACGAAAGUCUGACCGAGCAACGCCGCGUGAGUGAAGAGGGUUUGCGGAUCGGAAAGCGCUGUUGUUAGAGAAGCGGUAUCUAACCAGAGAGCCACGGCUAACGACGUGCCAGCCGCCGCGGUAAUAG
rnacentral:rRNA from 1 species